GGCGGCGUGCUUAACACAUGCAAGUCGAACGAUGAAGCCCUUCGGGGUGGAUUAGUGGCGAACGGGUGAGUAACACGUGGGCAAUCUGCCCUGCACUCUGGGACAAGCCCUGGAAACGGGGUCUAAUACCGGAUAUGACCAUCUUGGGCAUCCUUGAUGGUGUAAAGCUCCGGCGGUGCAGGAUGAGCCCGCGGCCUAUCAGCUUGUUGGUGAGGUAAUGGCUCACCAAGGCGACGACGGGUAGCCGGCCUGAGAGGGCGACCGGCCACACUGGGACUGAGACACGGCCCAGACUCCUACGGGAGGCAGCAGUGGGGAAUAUUGCACAAUGGGCGAAAGCCUGAUGCAGCGACGCCGCGUGAGGGAUGACGGCCUUCGGGUUGUAAACCUCUUUCAGCAGGGAAGAAGCGAAAGUGACGGUACCUGCAGAAGAAGCGCCGGCUAACUACGUGCCAGCAGCCGCGGUAAUACGUAGGGCGCAAGCGUUGUCCGGAAUUAUUGGGCGUAAAGAGCUCGUAGGCGGCUUGUCACGUCGAUUGUGAAAGCUCGGGGCUUAACCCCGAGUCUGCAGUCGAUACGGGCUAGCUAGAGUGUGGUAGGGGAGAUCGGAAUUCCUGGUGUAGCGGUGAAAUGCGCAGAUAUCAGGAGGAACACCGGUGGCGAAGGCGGAUCUCUGGGCCAUUACUGACGCUGAGGAGCGAAAGCGUGGGGAGCGAACAGGAUUAGAUACCCUGGUAGUCCACGCCGUAAACGGUGGGAACUAGGUGUUGGCGACAUUCCACGUCGUCGGUGCCGCAGCUAACGCAUUAAGUUCCCCGCCUGGGGAGUACGGCCGC
rnacentral:rRNA from 1 species